rnacentral:rRNA from 1 species
AUGAAUAAAUUAAAUGGCUGCAGUAUAAAUAACUGUACAAAGGUAGCAUAAUCAAUUGAUUUUUAAAUGAAAUCUGGAAUAAAAGAAUUAAUGAAAUAUAUACUGUCUCAUAUAUAUAAUAUAAACUUAAAUUUUUAAUAAAAAUGUUAAAAUUUAUUUAUGGGACGAUAAGACCCUAUAGAAUUUUAUAUUAAAUUAUUUUUAUAAAUAUUAAAUAUAAAAUUUAAAUUAAUAUUUAAUUGGGAGAAUUAUUAAAUUUAAAAAAUUUUAAUUUAAAAAAAACUUUAAUUAAAGAAUAUAUCUUGAUCUUUAAAUUAAAAUUAAUAGAAUAAAUUACCUUAGGGAUAACAGCGUUAUAUUUUUUUAUAGAUCACAUAGAAAAAAAUGAUUGCGACCUCGAUGUUGAAUUAAGAUAAAUUUUAAAUGUAGAAAUUUAAUAAUUAAGUCUGUUCGACUUUUAAAAUCUUACAUGAUUUGAGUUCAAAUCGACGUAAGUCAGAUUGG